AAAAACAUGAAAUUUCAUUUUACAUUUGUUACAAAGUGGUACUUCUAAAACUGUCAUAAAAGUGGUAAGCUUACAGCUUGAUGAAUUGAGUGAUGAUAGUAUCACCAAGGCGUCAUGAAAGACAAAAAAAAUGUACAUGUCUUACUGCUCGUUUACAAAACUGUUUCAGCUGUUUCCGGACAUUGUUUACAGCUGAAGGUCUUGGAAGAAACUAUCACUAGACCAGAAGAGAAAAAAAAGAUAACUCUAUCGGUAAGGAAACAUUUUUCCCAUGGAAGUAUUCCUUUGAGUUGAAUCUUGCAGUGCAACUUCCCUUGAAGGUGACAGUAUUAAUGAGACCCUUGAGAAUAGAAAGAAGAAAUAUGUUAAUUGGAAAUACAGGUGCAGAACAUUUCAUCAUUCAGAUUCUUUUGGGUGAACCCUGUUACACUAACUAAUAGGAAUAAUGAUACCCUUGAGAAUAGAAAGAAGAAACAUGUUAAUUGGGAAUACAGGUGCAAAACAUUUGAUCAAUGGGUUUCUUAGGGUGAACCUUGUUACACUAACUAACAGGAACUGCUGAUUUCAGAAGUUACCUAAGGUGACUACAUAUGCAGAAUGAGUAAAGAUUGGCACUCAAAGCUUCACUUGAAUAUGCGGAAACCCUGUUGAAACAUAUACAGGAUUAGAAGAAAUUAAUUUCACUGUUCCGUAUGAAAGAACAGGCUCUAAGAAAAUAACAUCUCGUUUCUGUCCUUGGGAGACAAAUAAAUAGAGAACUUACAUGUCUCUGCAGGAAAGAAGUUACUAACGGCAGCUGAAUUUCAUUGUCCUUGCAAGUUACAAUCUCAAAAAGGAAUUUUUGGCGUAGAGCUUGUAAAUCAUCCUACAAUAUUUUAGAAAAAGUGCAGUUUAAUUCCUGAUAUGUUCCAAUUAAUGACAAAAAAGGAGAAUUAUGUCUAUCGCUUACAUUAGAGAACCCCUCCAAUCCGAGACCUUUGUACUUGCUAAAAAAUGAACAUUUAACUGGGGAACAUUAUUUGGGGGGGGGACAAGUAUUGCUCUGAUGAUAAUUGAAUAAUGUUCCUUGGGGUGAACAAUUUUUUUUGAAAGAAUGUUCACUACAUUUUGAAUAAAAAAUGGUCAUUGAAUAUUGUUCCCUCAGUAAUGUUCUUAGUAAAAAUAAAAAAAAUUGUUUUUCAAAAUUAAAUAAUGUUCUCUGAAGUAAAAAAUGUUUUUCAAGACAAAUAAUGUUUCCUCAGUAUCAACAAUUAAAUCGGACUUGGAAAAAAUGUUCCCUAAAUAAUGUUCUCUAAAAUAAUGAUAAACUAAAAAAUGUUCCCUAAAUAAUGUUUGUCGAAAAAUGUUUGCGGGUGCCAAGAAAUUUCUCUUGGAAAAUGUUCCCUAAAGUCUAAAAAAAUAAAUGUUAUUUGAAUAUGUUUCAAUAAUGUUCUCAAUUUUUUUUAAAAUGUUCUUCAAAAUAAAUAAUGUUCCUUUAACUGUAAAUAUGUUCUUCAAGUUAAAUAAUGUUCCUCAGCAUGAACAAGUAAUGUUUCCUCAUAAAAAUUGUUCCCUAAAAAAUGUUCUUCAAGUUAAACAAAAGAAACAUUAUAGGGGAACAAAAGAAAUUGAACAUUUAUUUGGGGAACAUUAUUAAAGGGACAUUCUUGAAUGAACAUUAAAAGAAUGAUAAUUGAAUAAUGUUCCUUUGGGUCAACAAAAUUUCCUUGGAGACAUUUUUUGUACUACAUUCUGAAUAUAAUAAUGUUCCUUGAAUAAUGUUCCCUCAAUAAUGUUCUAAAAAACACUAAAUUGUUCCCUAAUAAAUAAUGUUCUCUGAAGUUUAAAAAUGUUCUUCAAGUCAAAUAAUUUUUCCUCGGCAUCAACAAAAAGUAUCAACCUAAUAUGUGUACAUCUUGCAAGUUUCAUCUUGUAUUACUAGGUUAACGUCCUAUAUCAAAAACUAUAGUCACAUCACCUACUAUCACUUCAAAAAACGAACAUUGGCCUACAGUGCACAGAUAUAUACAUGGAAAAAAAUUCGAUGGACCAUGAGCUCAGACCAAGAGCUCACAGCGGCUGUUUUGAAAUAGGAUGCCGAACAAGCAGUGUGGCCGGAAGUGCCUAGCACCACGUGCCUCGAUGAGCCCCUUGUCCUCUCUCUGCUGUACCGAUGGAAUACUUCUGCAGAAGAAGGACAAGAGACAUAGCAAAUGUUGAGCUUGAACUGAAAAAGAAAAAAAGAAAUGUCGUGGUGUGAGCCAGACUAGUUCAAUGUUGAGCUCAAACAAUUCACAUUAUGAAUACAAAUAACACAUUACAUAAACUUCAGACUGUUUUUUUGGUUACGUUGGUAUGGGCACGCACGCAGAACAAAUGUGAAUUCUAAACAUUAUUAUUCAUGAACAACACAAAAGAGGAAAAGCUGAGUAUCUGGACCAUUAUUACGUUGGUAUGGGCUCCAUUAUAUAUUAACAUUUUGUGCAGGACGCACGCACGCAGAACCAUACAACAAACAGUCUGAAUGGCUCCAUGAAAAUGUUAUUUCGCGGAGCCUAAAAUAUUGAUAGGUGCUUGCUUCUCGACAAAAUACAUCCUAACAAGUGUCCAUCAUGCUACUACACAUUACAGAAACUAACAAAACAUAUAAUCAAGAGAUGAGGACUUCUGCAUCAUCCUACAAAAACACACCUAUCAUCAUCAACAUCAACACACACACACACACAAACUCUGGGGAAGCACAUGAACAGACACCCUCCUACCAUCAUUAUGCUCCAUUCAUACCCUGAAUCCAAAUUCUGAAGGCAACCCUCUUUUCUAGCCUCAGAUUCACCCAAACUAGAACGAAAAAAUCGCUCCACUGCUGCCACCGAAACCUCCUACAAACCCUAGAAACGCUGGACCGACACAAACGGGACAAAAAUCGCCUUGAUCUGGUGAUACAACACACAAAGAACACGAACAGCGUGACAAGAACACAGCGGGGCGAAUUGGGGGCAUUACCUUGAAGAUGACGAACUUGAUGGAGCUUGACGGAACCCUAGACGCG
rnacentral:lncRNA from 1 species